UGGGGAAUAUUGGACAAUGGGCGCAAGCCUGAUCCAGCCAUGCCGCGUGUGUGAAGAAGGCCUUCGGGUUGUAAAGCACUUUUGUCCGGAAAGAAAUCCUGUCGGUUAAUACCCGGCGGGGAUGACGGUACCGGAAGAAUAAGCACCGGCUAACUUCGUGCCAGCAGCCGCGGUAAUACGAAGGGUGCAAGCGUUACUCGGAAUUACUGGGCGUAAAGCGUGCGUAGGUGGUUCGUUAAGUCUGUCGUGAAAGCCCCGGGCUCAACCUGGGAAUGGCGAUGGAUACUGGCGGGCUAGAGUGCGGUAGAGGGUGGUGGAAUUCCCGGUGUAGCAGUGAAAUGCGUAGAGAUCGGGAGGAACAUCAGUUGCGAAGGCGGCCACCUGGACCAGCACUGACACUGAGGCACGAAAGCGUGGGGAGCAAA
rnacentral:rRNA from 1 species